rnacentral:rRNA from 2 species
AGCGGCAGACGGGUGAGUAACGCGUGGGAAUCUACCCGGAACUACGGAAUAACAUGAAGAAAUUUAUGCUAAUACCGUAUACGCCCUUUUGGGGAAAGAUUUAUUGGUUUCGGAUGAGCCCGCGUUGGAUUAGCUUGUUGGUAGGGUAAUGGCCUACCAAGGCGACGAUCCAUAGCUGGUCUGAGAGGAUGAUCAGCCACACUGGGACUGAGACACGGCCCAGACUCCUACGGGAGGCAGCAGUGGGGAAUAUUGGACAAUGGGCGCAAGCCUGAUCCAGCCAUGCCGCGUGAGUGAUGAAGGCCUUAGGGUUGUAAAGCUCUUUCACCGGUGAAGAUAAUGACGGUAACCGGAGAAGAAGCCCCGGCUAACUUCGUGCCAGCAGCCGCGGUAAUACGAAGGGGGCUAGCGUUGUUCGGAUUUACUGGGCGUAAAGCGCACGCAGGCGGAUAUUUAAGUCAGAGGUGAAAUCCCGGGGCUCAACCCUGGAAUUGCCUUUGAUACUGGGUAUCUGGAGUACAGAAGAGGUAAGUGGAAUUCCGAGUG